rnacentral:rRNA from 1 species
UAGGGAAUCUUCCACAAUGGACGCAAGUCUGAUGGAGCAACGCCGCGUGAGUGAAGAAGGCUUUCGGGUCGUAAAACUCUGUUAUUGAAGAAGAACGUGUGUGACAGUAACUGGUCAUGCAGUGACGGUAUUCAAUCAGAAGGUCACGGCUAACUACGUGCCAGCAGCCGCGGUAAUACGUAGGUGGCAAGCGUUGUCCGGAUUUAUUGGGCGUAAAGCGAGUGCAGGCGGUCUUUUAAGUCUGAUGUGAAAGCCUUCGGCUUAACCGAAGAAGGGCAUCGGAAACUGGGAGACUUGAGUGCAGAAGAGGAGAGUGGAACUCCAUGUGUAGCGGUGAAAUGCGUAGAUAUAUGGAAGAACA